AGACACCAGAUCUUACUCUCUCUUUAUUAGUUCUGACAAAGGGAAAAGUCCAUGUGAGAACACCACAGCAAGAAGUCAACAAGCCACAAGCUAGGAAGAGUUCCCUGACCAGGAACAGAAUCAGCGGCAUCUUGAUUGGGAUGCCUAUCCUUCAGAACAACAUGUCACCUGCACUCUGCUGGAGUACAGUAAUGUGAUCACGGUUAAGUGUAACCGCAAUCUCCUGGGCUCAAUUAAUCAUCCCACUUCAGUCUUUCAAGUAGGUUGGCCUACAGACCUCUCACAAAUCACCUUCACAUGCAGGAUUUCAACUAAGCUUGUCAGAAAUUUUCCAAGAAACUUGAGGUUCAAAAUAGUGGAGGCUCCCACCUCCACUGUCCCACCCACUUUAUUGCACAGAUGUUUGUCAAAUCUACGCAGUUGUGGACAAGAUUCCUUCUGAUAAUCCUGCUACUCAGACUAUUGAACAGUCUCCUGAAGGAGGCUAAAGUGCAAUGAAUGACGUGAUCACGGCUCACUGCAUCCUCUAUAUCCCAACUCAAGCAGUCCUCCCACAUCUGCCUCUGGAGUAGCUGGGACCACAGGUAACCUCACCAUGCCCAACUAACUUUUUCACUUUUUGUAGUAACAGGGUCUCACUAUGUUGCCCAGGCUGAUCUUGAACUCCUGGGCUCAAGGCAUCCUCCAACCUUAGCCUCCCAAAGUGCUGAGUUUACAAGUGUAAGACACCAUGCUGAGCCAAAAACCACACUUCUAAAA
rnacentral:lncRNA from 13 species